GCUUAACAUUGUUUACUUGUCAGGGCCCGGUUGCUGGAAACUUUUACAGGGUUGGGUAUAGUCCCGGGAAUACGGAAUAUUAUAUAUGCUACUUUUCCGCUUGUUCAGGUAACACAUUCCCAAUCCCACUGGCCGGGAUUAAUGAUAAACCGGUAUCAGAGUGUUGAAUGACAAGGCCCCAGAUUUUAAACGACAAAAUAGAAGUUUAAUUAAAUAUACACAUUAUACAAUAUAGCAGAAGAAUCGUUUAUUAAAUACAUAUAUUUUGACAUUCA